UCGCCCACAAUCUGUUCAAACGGUUUCAACACGGAUGUGUUCGGGUGUGGCGUGUGAGCGGAUACUACACACUUGACGGUCGGCCUUGUGCCGAAGCCCUUCACAGGGACAUCUUUGUUGGGGUCGUUCUCCGAUCCGGCAACGGAUCGAGAUUGUUCCCACCUUUGGUCUCCUCGCGCUAACCCCGUAGCGUGUGGUUUUUAGCGGGCUCCAGGCCCGCUUUUUUUU
rnacentral:ncRNA from 1 species